rnacentral:rRNA from 1 species
AUUAAUGAAUUAUGAAGGGGUUGUCGCUGGCUGUUUCGUUUGAGUAGCAUGUGCACGCUCUGAUCAUUAUCCAUCUUACACACCUGUGCACACACUGUAAGUCGGCUUUUGACGCAAGUAAGGGUCUUCAUUGACUCUGCUUUAAAUUGGGAGCCUUCUUAUGUUUUAUCACACACUACUUCAGUUUAAAGAAUGUCAAAUCGCGUUUAACGCAUUAAAAUACAACUUUCAGCAACGGAUCUCUUGGCUCUCGCAUCGAUGAAGAACGCAGCGAAAUGCGAUAAGUAAUGUGAAUUGCAGAAUUCAGUGAAUCAUCGAAUCUUUGAACGCACCUUGCGCUCCUUGGUAUUCCGAGGAGCAUGCCUGUUUGAGUGUCAUGGAAUCAUCAACUCUGUUUACUUUUGUGAAUAGGGCUUGGACUUGGAGGUUUUGCCGGUACUUGUGAUUGGCUCCUCUUGAAUGCAUUAGCUUGAACCUUUGUGGAUCAGCUUAUCGGUGUGAUAAUUGUCUACGCCGUUACUGUGAAGCAUAUAUCAAAGGGCUCGGCUUCUAAUCGUCCUUUACGGGACAAUAACUUUGACCUUUGACCUCAAAUCAGGUAGGA